rnacentral:rRNA from 1 species
GAAGAAAGAGGGGGGGGGGAGGAAAAUAGGAAAGUAGAACGGAAAGGUUCUGCUUGCAGGGUAAUUGAGUGGAGAAUGGGUGAGUAACACGUAGGUGAUAUGUGCUGCACUUCGGGAUAAGCCUGGGAAACUGGGUCUAAUACCGUAUAGGAGCCAUUUUUAGUGUGAUGGUUGGAAAGUUUUUUCGGUGUAGGAUGAGCUCGCGGCCUAUCAGCUUGUUGGUGGGGUAAUGGCCUACCAAGGCGGCGACGGGUAGCCGGCCUGGGAGGGUGGACGGCCAAAAUGGGACUGGAGAAAGGGCCAGAACCCUAAGGGAAGGAGGAGGGGGGAAUAAUUGAGAAUGGGGGGGAGGCUGAUGCAGGGAAGCCGGGGGGGGGGAGAAGGGCUUUGGGUUGGAAAACCCUUUCGAUAGGGAAGAAGGUGUAUGUGACGGUACCUAGAUAAGAAGCACCGGCUAACUACGUU